UACGGAGGGAGCUAGCGUUGUUCGGAAUUACUGGGCGUAAAGCGCACGUAGGCGGCUUUGUAAGUUAGAGGUGAAAGCCCGGAGCUCAACUCCGGAAUUGCCUUUAAGACUGCAUCGCUUGAAUCCAGGAGAGGUGAGUGGAAUUCCGAGUGUAGAGGUGAAAUUCGUAGAUAUUCGCAAGAACACCAGUGGCGAAGGCGGCUCACUGGCCCGGUACUGACGCUGAGGUGCGAAAGCGUGGGGAGCAAACAGG
rnacentral:rRNA from 1 species